AUAUACAAAAAAAUAUGGCUAAUCGAUGUUAAAGUCUUGUUUGGCACGAUAAUGACCAAGAGAACAACUUGCGCUAGCUUGAACUGCUGCCAGCUGGACCUCACCUAUUCUACAUUGGGAACCUGUUACCAAAAAUUAAAAUUCCAACUUAAGCUUUCGCUUCACGUUGGAUGUGAAGCGAAGUCUCACAUCGCUUGGGUACCAAAGUAAUAUGAAGAAUAUAAGCGUGCGAGCACCGUCACAUUAAUAGCUUGCUUUUGGUUGAGUUCUACCCAAGAUCAUUUAAUAUCAACAACUAUCUAUUAAUGUUCUCAGAAAUUAAAAAAGCGUUUGUGUGAGGCAAUUAAGCCUCUUAAGCUUUGGAAUAAGGGUACCAUUUUAAGACCCUUGAGGCAAUUAGUACGAGUUGAAAGAACAUACCCC